CGGCUCUUCCAUCCUCGGGCCUGUAAUUCCAUGUCGAGCCCGGGGCCAGCAGCACGCAGACAGCAAACAGGCCAGUCGGUCCGCUCGCAUGGGCUUCCGGGCACUUGCGGGGGCGAGUGAAAACUUGCCACGGAGGGUCGUGCAGGCGGCUUUCCGCGGCCGGCGGUCUUACACGU
rnacentral:snoRNA from 1 species